GAGGAAAGAGGGAGGCGUGCUUAACACAUGCAAGUCGAACGGAAAGGCCCUGCUUGCAGGGUGCUCGAGUGGCGAACGGGUGAGUAACACGUGGGUGAUCUGCCCCUUACUUUGGGUUAAGCCUGGGAAACUGGGUCUAAUACUGGAUAGGACCAUGCUGUAGGUGGUGUGGUGGAAAGAUUAGUUUCGGUAAGGGAUGAGCUCGCGGCCUAUCAGCUUGUUGGUGGGGUAAUGGCCUACCAAGGCGUCGACGGGUAGCCGGCCUGAGAGGGUGGACGGCCACAUUGGGACUGAGAUGCGGCCCAGACGCCGACGGGAGGCAGCAGUGGGGAAUAUUGCGCAAUGGGCGCAAGGCGGAUGCAGCGACGGCGCGUGGGGGAUGACGGCCUUCGGGUUGUAAACUCCUUUCGGCCAUGACGAAGCCCUUGUGGUGACGGUAGUGGUAGAAGAAGCACCGGCUAACUACGUG
rnacentral:rRNA from 1 species